UGAUCCCUCCUGUUUACCACCCUUAUUUCUUUUAUGAUUGAGUAAGAUUUCUUUUAUGACUUCCAAAGAAGAGAAACUGAUAGUGAAAUCAAAAAGGUCUGGAGAAAUAUUUUAAAAAGUCCCCUUCCAUGAAGCAUUCCAUUUUUGCAUUAUGAGAUAAAUGGCUUCAGAGAAUAUGUCUUUCUACGUGGUCUGAGUGUGUGAUGAUCCCACAGAUGAACAGCUCAGCUGAGACCAGGACACGUUAGGCUUACUGGUUUCACAGGAUCUGAUUUGUUUCCAGUAAGUGAUAAGUGCAUGUUGCAGCCUCUGUCUCAAAAGCUCCCUGGUGUGAAUGCCAUCGUGAGUGGAUUAGAACACAGACAUAUUCUCUUCUGUGGAUACUUUAAUUACCUUUGGAUCUCACAGAUGAAAUAACCUGUGUCGGGCAUCUAGCACAGGCUCACUUGUGAAGCAAUGAAGAAAUACACAGAUGAGUGAAUAUGCUACUCUGAUCCCAGACAUGCCAGAGGGACCGAUAGACAGAUGCAGGCAAUGUUUCUAUGACCUGACUCUACAUGAAUGUUUAAUGUCACAUAGCUGCUCCUUCUGCUCUGAAUUUGGGAUGCCUGGUCUGGAGCACAAAAGCAGACUCAAGAUAUCCUACUGGGCUCCCAGGAGCUGGGGUGCACAGAGGCAGCUGUACCAUUUACAGUCUAAUUGGCAGUGUCAGAGAGCACAGGAUGCCCAAAGUUCACCAGGAGGAGAUGAAGAUGUUGCAGG